GACAGAGGGGGCAAGCGUUGCUCGGAAUCACUGGGCGUAAAGGGUGCGUAGGCGGGUCUUUAAGUCAGGGGUGAAAUCCCGGAGCUCAACUCCGGAACUGCCUUUGAUACUGGCAGCUAGAGUCCGGAAGAGGUAAGUGGAACUCCUAGUGUAGAGGUGGAAUUCGUAGAUAUUAGGAAGAACACCAGUGGCGAAGGCGGCUUACUGGUCCGGAACUGACGCUGAGGUGCGAAAGCGUGGGGAGCAAACAGG
rnacentral:rRNA from 1 species